AACGCGAAGAACCUUACCAGCUCUUGACAUGGUGAUUUUGGAUUUCAGAGAUGAAGUCCUUCGGUUCGGCCGGGUCACACACAGGUGCUGCAUGGCUGUCGUCAGCUCGUGUCGUGAGAUGUUGGGUUAAGUCCCGCAACGAGCGCAACCCUCAUCGUUAAUUGCCAUCAGGUUGGGCUGGGCACUUUAACGAAACCGCCGGUGAUAAGCCGGAGGAAGGUGGGGAUGACGUCAAGUCCUCAUGGCCCUUAUGGGCUGGGCUACACACGUACUACAAUGGCGGUGACAAUGGGCAGCGAUAGGGCGACCUUGAGCGAAUCCAGAAAAAGCCGUCUCAGUUCGGAUUGUUCUCUGCAACUCGAGAGCAUGAAGUCGGAAUCGCUAGUAAUCGCGCAUCAGCAUGGCGCGGUGAAUACGUUCACGGGCCUUGUACACACCGCGAGC
rnacentral:rRNA from 1 species